UCUACCUGCUUUCUGACUAAAGCAAUGGUUGGCAAACUCUUUACUCAACAGAGCCAAAUAUCAACAGUACAACAAUUGAAAUUUCUUUUGAGAGCCAAAUUUUU